GCUUCGCCCGGAUAGCGCGGCGCCGGUGUGCUGACCGGGCGCAGGGUGGGCGCUGCCGGUGCGGCGGCCUGGCGUGCGGCGCUGGCCUGCUGGGCGGCAGCCUGCUGCUGCUUCUGCUCGGCCUCGCGGCGGGCGGCGGCCUGGCGCUCGGCUUCCUGGCGCUCGUUGUCGCGGCGCGCGGCAUCCUGCUGCGCGGCAAUCUGCUUGGCGGCGUCGGCUUCCUUGGCGCGCUGCUCGCUCAGGCGCUGCUGCUCGGUCUGCUGCUUGCUGCGGUCCUCGGCGUCCUUCUUGGCCUUCUCGGCUUCCGCUUCGGUGCGCUUGGCUGCGUUCUUCAUCGAU
rnacentral:misc_RNA from 1 species